rnacentral:rRNA from 1 species
AUUGAACGCUGGCGGCAGGCUUAACACAUGCAAGGCGAGCGGGGGAAGGUAGCUUGCUACCGGACCUAGCGGCGGACGGGUGAGUAAUGCUUAGGAAUCUGCCUAUUAGUGGGGGACAACAUCUCGAAAGGGAUGCUAAUACCGCAUACGUCCUACGGGAGAAAGCAGGGGAUCUUCGGACCUUGCGCUAAUAGAUGAGCCUAAGUCGGAUUAGCUAGUUGGUGGGGUUAAGGCCUACCAAGGCGACGAUCUGUAGCGGGUCUGAGAGGAUGAUCCGCCACACUGGGACUGAGACACGGCCCAGACGCCUACGGGAGGGAGCAGUGGGGAAUAUUGGAAAAUGGGGGGAACCCUGAUCCAGCCAUGACGCAUGUGUGAAGAAGGCCUUAUGGUUGUAAAGCACUUUAAGCGAGGAGGAGGCUACUCUAGUUAAUACCUAGGGAUAGUGGACGUUACUCGCAGAAUAAGCACCGGCUAACUCUGUGCCAGCCGCCGCAGUAA